UACGGAGGGAGCUAGCGUUGUUCGGAAUUACUGGGCGUAAAGCGCACGUAGGCGGCUUUGUAAGUCAGAGGUGAAAGCCUGGAGCUCAACUCCAGAACUGCCUUUGAGACUGCAUCGCUUGAAUCCAGGAGAGGUGAGUGGAAUUCCGAGUGUAGAGGUGAAAUUCGUAGAUAUUCGGAAGAACACCAGUGGCGAAGGCGGCUCACUGGACUGGUAUUGACGCUGAGGUGCGAAAGCGUGGGGAGCGAACAGG
rnacentral:rRNA from 1 species